UUCUUCAUGUUCCGCUCCUAUUUUAGGCUUGGGACUGUAUAGCUGCUUAGUCCUGGGAAGGACUUAGGGGCUGACUGGUCCAGCCACACCAUUUCAUGAUGGCUCAGAAAAGGAAGGUAACUUGCCCAGUGUUACACAGACAGCUAGUGACAAAGUCCAGACUAAAACCUUCAUUUCCUCACUCCCAUUGCAGUGUUAUUUCCGUCUCUUCAUAUGGCUUCAAAAGUGCAUGUUUCCCAGAUCCCUCCUGUAAGACUUUGUCCCUGGACCCAGAGCUGUAGGCCCUUUGGACAGAAGCCAGCGCCUCAAGGAGAGGCAGGAGAGAAGCACCUGGGGAGGCUGGGGGAUGGGCCUGCCCUGGGAGUUAAUUUUAUUCACUUCAGUGGGACCAAAUGGAAUCGGAGCAUUAACGUGGUGAGUGUGCCUCAGAGCUGUCUAAACCAGCCGUGAAUACUAACCAGGGAGCUUAGAGGGAGCUAAAAAUAACUGGCUAAUCACCACCAGGAAGAAUUAACAAGGACUCUGAAGAAAGGAAAAUGUCUUAAUAUUCCAUCUCUCUGGCAGCUGGGCUCCAGCUGGGACUGAAGUCUCCUCCUGGCUUCCAUAGGAUGGCAGGAAUAUCACUUCCUCUGGGUUGGAGUGAGGAUCAAACCAUCUAACACAGGUAAGAGCACUUCAUUCAUUGUAACAAGCAGUACAGAUAUUAAUAACUCUUAUCCUGUGGCAAGAGACCCACAUAAGCCAUUCAGGACUGGGCAAUCUUUCCAGUGCACAAAUCAGGAUAAAGAAGCAUUUAAUGCUUAGCCCCCGAGUCUACACCUACUUCCCACUACAGUCCUCCUUGGCUGGGAGGGUCUCCUCAUCCUACUUUUUUUGCUGUGUAUUCUGGCUCCAGGAAUCUAGUGACUGGGUCCACCACCACCAUGGCCAGUGGGAAGGGUGUAUUGGUAAGUUGCAAGGAGGCCAAUUUCUGGAUGCCAUUGAGUCUCUGUGCUGUUUUCUCACAGGCAGAGAGGCCCCUCCUGCAGCGUGAGUCACAUGUAAUCCCUAGGGAAGAGGGCAGUCUCAAUUUUAGAAGAGAAGGACUUCAGAGGAUUCUUCCUGGGGCACUAGAGAAAGCUGGAUUUGGAGUAAAAAAAAAUCCACUGGUCUUUUAUUGUUUCCUGCUCCAGAUCACUAGAUUCUUUGUGUGUGUGUGCGUGUGCGCCUGUCUGACAUUAUUCAAAACUCCUAGAUGGCAUAACGGCGUUAAAAAAGAAAAGAGUAGAAAUCAGAAAACCCCAUUAAAAGUGCGGCUGUGCCACUCCCUAGUUGUAUGAUAUUGGGAAAUAAUUUAAGAACUCUGAACUUCAUCUGGUAAGGGGAGAAAGGGGUUCUCCUUAUUGUCUCACGGGGCUGCUGUGGAGUUCAUUUGAGGUAAUAUACGGGUGAGCAGUUAUGAACUGUGUCAUCUCAUUCAGAUAUGAGGGUAAUUCGUUUUUUCAGCUGUUACAUAGAUGAUGAGUCAUUCAUAGCUUGUAUUAGCAUCUUUUCUUUUUUGGUCAAGUUUAUUAAGGCAUAAAUUAUUGCAUAAAGUUUGCCCUUUUCAGAAUUUUGACAAAAACUCAGUUGUGCAAGCACCAGUACAAAGGCAAUCGCUGAUUUGUUUUCUGCCUUUAUAGUUUUUUCAGAAUGUCAUAUAAAUAGAAUCUUACAGCAGGAAGCCUUUUGAGUCUGGCUGUUUUUCACUUAGCGUAAUGCAUUGAGAUUCGUCCAGGUUAACGUAACUAUCCGUGAGCUCGUUCCUUUUUACUGCUGAGUAGUGUUUCAUUCUAGAGAUGUAUUAUACUUUCUUUAUCCAUUUGGGUUGUUUCCAUGAAUAAACCGUUGUUAACAUUUGUAUACAGAGUUUUGUAUGAUCAUAAUCUUUUAUUUCUUUUGGGCAGAUAACUAGGAGUGGGAUUGCUGGAUCAUAUGGCUGGUUUUUGUUUAACUUCAUAAGAAACUGACAAGGUUUUUAAAAAGUUGUUGUAGCAUUUUGCAUUCUAGCACAGCACCUUUUAAGUUUAUUUGAAAAAACCCUCUUGUAUUUAAUUUAAUUUUAUCCUCCAAGCAGCUCUGUGGGAUAGGGCAGGUAAAUAUUUCUAUUCUUUUGCAAUAGGUGGGAAUAUGAGAGCUAAAAAGGAGAAAUGUCUGGUCAAAAGUCAAUGUGGCAGAGCUGCUACUGUUCCCAAUAUAUGAUCCUCUCCCAUUCUUCCUUUGAGCAAAGAGUCUCUUGAUCCCCACUGAGUUUUGGCUAAGCACAGAGCACCCAUCCAGAACCUACAUUUCCUGGCUUCUCUUUCAUGGAGGAGUGGGCCAUGUGACUAGAAUUUGGCCAGUGGGAUAUGAGUAGGAAUACUUCAAUUUGCUUCCUACAGGAUGACUUUCUUUUCUUUCUUUUUAAAAAAAAUUUUUUUUUUUUUUUUGAGACGGAGUUUCGCUCUUGUUCCCCAGGCUGGAGUGCAGUGGCGCGACGUCGGCUCACCGCAACCUCUGCCACCUGGGUUCAGGCAAUUCUCCUGCCUCAGCCUCCCGAGUAGCUGGGAUUACAGGCACGCGCCACCACACCCAGCUAAUUUUUUGUAUUUUUAGUAGAGAUGGGGUUUCACCAUGUUGACCAGGAUGGUCUCCAUCUCUUGACCUCAUGAUCCACCCGCCUUGGCCUCCCAAAGUGCUGGGAUUACAGCUGUGAGCCACUGCGCCCGGCCCAAAUUUUUUUAUUUUUGAGACAGAGUUUUGCUCUAUUGCCUAGGUUGGAGUGCAGUGGUAUGAUCUCAGCUCAUUGCAGCCUCUGCCUCCAGGGUUCAAGUGAUUCUUCUAACUCAGCCUCCUGAGUAGCUGGGAGUAUAGGCAUGCACCACCACACCUAGCUAAUUUUUGUAUUUUUUUUUUAGUAGGGAUGGGGUUUUGCCAUGUUAUCCAGGCUGGUCUUGAACUCCUGACCUCAAGUGAUCCACCUGCCUCAGCCUCCCAAAAUGCUGAGAUUACAAAUGUGAGCCAUUGCACCUGGCCAGGUCUGACUUUCUAUACUAACUAUUCUCUUUCCUGCUAGCUGGAAUGUGGUUGUGGCUGCGACUUAACUCGGAUUUGCAGAUGGAGACAGUACAAAGUAGAAGACUGAUCUCAUAGAACAGAGCUGCCCUGACAGCCCGGGCUGCCGAGACUAUUACGUGUCUUUUACUCACUCCAUUGUAAUUUUGGGGUCUCUUUGUUACUUCAGCCUAACAUUUACCCUGGCUAAUACAGUCCCGUAUCACGUUAGUGGGAACACGUUAUAGCCGGUUCACACAACUUCAUUCAUCUUAUUCAAAAUAUUAAUGAGGAAAAAAUUGGCUUUCCUAAAAUAUAGAUAUGCCAUAGCUAUACCAAUCCCCGGAUCUAACGGUUUGCUCACCCCUACUGAGUCCAGGAAGUAGUAUUAAAAUAAUGAAUUUAUUUUCCGUGCACACUUAUUAACUCCUAGUGAUCUCAUGUCUUCUAAUCUUCCCAAGCAAGCAUCUGCAUUUCUCUAUGUGCAUACCUUUCCAAUGAAUGUCUGGCCUACUGGUCUAUGAUGAGAGGCAUUUGUUUUAUUCAUCCAGAUGUUCAUCUGGAGAGCUAGCAAGAAGUGAGAUCGUUAGAGGUGAGAAUGGUUACUCAAAGACUGUAGAGGUGAAACAGAGGCACUUGGACUUCUGGGGUUAAGCAGGAGGCAGAAGGGGACUGAGAAGAUAAAAUACAGUUUAAAGAAGACGCUCUGACAGUUGUGUGGUGAGUAGAUUGGAGGAGAAGGGUCCAAGAGCGGGCGCCCCUUCAGGAGGUGUCUCAGUCCAUUCAGGCUCCUAUAACAAAAAUAGCAGAGACGGGGUGGCUUUAAAACCCCGGCAUUUAUUCUCAGAGUCCUGGAGGCUGGGAAGUUGAACAUGAAGGUACCUGCUGACCUGGUGUCCGGUGAGGGCCCGCCUCCUUCCUCAUACCCAGCUGUCUUCUCACUGUGUGCUCACGUGGCACAAGGACUGAGGGAGUGCUCUGGGGUCUCUUAUCACAACACUAAUCCCACACAAGACAGCUGAGCCCAAAGGCCUCCCAAAGGCCACACCUCUUCAUGCCAUCAUCUUGGUGGUGAGGAUGUCAACAUAUGAGUUUUGAAAGGACGCAUUGAGUCCACACCAAGAAAAAAUUGUGAUAGUGUAGAUAUGGGAGCUGGAGAGUGUGAAGGAAGAGCUCGGUGAGUGUGCAUAGUGUGAGAGGAAAAGGAGCAGGCAGUGAGGAGGAAGUGCAUGCGCAAGGCUCCGCUUACAGGGCCCCUGAACCAGGCUGUAUAGAGCCUCUCCCAGGGCCACCCACAGCCCCCACUCGUUCCCUUUCCUGCUUUCCUGGUGAGUACUCACUAGCAACUCCAUACUUGUUCAGUCUUCAGAUCAUGGGACAAGAGCCAAACAGGGCCUGACCUAUCCUCUAGUAACACAAAACAUGCUGGCCCGGGCUCCUGAAUACCAGAGCAGCAGGCGAAGGAGUGGGGAGUCUCUGACGGGUCAUGGGGAGCACCGGGGGCUUAAAGAAGAGUGUGUCUUACUGAAAGUGGGGUUUGAGCUAGUAGAGCAAAUCCCACCAAAUAAUCACAUAUAAGGAAGUGAUUAGAUUUAUCUGGGUUAUUAAAUUAAUUCAAUUUGUCUAGGACCUAAAUGCAGUCUUGAAGACGGGAAGUACAGCUGCUUGGAGCCUAUGGAUGAAGAUAAGAGAAAAAGGUUAAGAAGGGGACAUGGAUGAAUUUGGAGAACAUCAUCCUCAGCAAACUGACACAAGAACAGAAAAUGAAACACCGCAUAUUCUCACUCAUAGGCGGGUGAUGAAAAAUGAGAACACAUGGACACAGAAAGGGGAGUACUAAAC